rnacentral:rRNA from 1 species
CCUACGGGUGGCAGCAGUGAGGAAUAUUGGGCAAUGGAGGCAACCCUGAACCAGCCACGCAGCGUGCAGGAUGACGGCCCUAUGGGUUGUAAACUGCUUUUAUGCGGGGAUAAACUGCGUCACGUGUGGCCUAUUGCACGUACCCCAUGAAUAAGGACCCGCUAAUUCCGUGCCAGUAGCCGCGGUAAUACGGAAGGUGCGGGCGUUAUCCGGAUUUAUUGGGUGUAAAGGUAGGGCAGGCGGUCCCUCAAGCGUGUUGUGAAAUGCCGGGGCUCAACCGGGGGACUGCAGCGGGAACUGGGGGGCUUGAGUGCGGGAGAGGUAGGCGGAAUUCGGGGUGUAGCGGUGAAAUGCGUAGAUAUCACGAAGAACUCCGAUUGCGAAGGCAGCCUACCGUAGAGUAACUGACGCUGAGGCUCGAAGGUGCGGGUAUCGAACAGGAUUAGAUACCCUAGUAGUC